rnacentral:rRNA from 1 species
UACAGAGGGGGCAAGCGUUGUUCGGAAUUACUGGGCGUAAAGGGCGCGUAGGCGGCCUGCUAAGUCGAACGUGAAAUCCCUGGGCUCAACCCAGGAACUGCGUCCGAUACUGGUUGGCUUGAAUCCGGGAGAGGGAUGCGGAAUUCCAGGUGUAGCGGUGAAAUGCGUAGAUAUCUGGAGGAACACCGGUGGCGAAGGCGGCAUCCUGGACCGACACUGACGCUGAGGAGCGAAAGCCAGGGGAGCAAACGGG